AUACGGAGGAUGCAAGCGUUAUCCGGAUUUAUUGGGUUUAAAGGGUGCGUAGGCGGGACUGUAAGUCAGGGGUGAAAUCGUGGGGCUCAACCCCAUUCUGCCGUUGAUACUGGGUGGCUUGAUUGCGGUCGAGGUUGGCGGAAUUCGUUGUGUAGCGGUGAAAUGCAUAGAUAUGACGAAGAACACCGAUUGCGUAGGCAGCUGACCAGACCGCAAAUGACGCUCAUGCACGAAAGUGCGGGGAUCGAACAGGAUUAGAUACCCUGGUAGUCCGCACAGUAAACGAUGAAUACUUGUUUUCGGCGAUAUAAUGUCGGAGGCAAAGCGAAAGCGAUAAGUAUUCCACCUGGGGAGUACGCCGGCAACGGUGAAACUCAAAUGAAUUGACGGGG
rnacentral:rRNA from 1 species